CACGUAGGGCGCGAGCGUUGUCCGGAAUUAUUGGGCGUAAAGAGCUCGUAGGCGGCCUGUUGCGUCCGCUGUGAAAGCCCGGGGCUUAACCCCGGGUCGGCAGUGGAUACGGGCAGGCUAGAGGUAGGUAGGGGAGAAUGGAAUUCCCGGUGUAGCGGUGAAAUGCGCAGAUAUCGGGAGGAACACCGGUGGCGAAGGCGGGUCUCUGGGCAGAAACUGACGCUGAGGAGCGAAAGCGUGGGGAGCGAACAGG
rnacentral:rRNA from 1 species